rnacentral:rRNA from 1 species
UAUUUUCCUUUUUUGCCAGCCGCCGCGGUAAUACGGAGGAUCCGAGCGUUAUCCGGAUUUAUUGGGUUUAAAGGGAGCGUAGGUGGACUGGUAAGUCAGUUGUGAAAGUUUGCGGCUCAACCGUAAAAUUGCAGUUGAUACUGUCAGUCUUGAGUACAGUAGAGGUGGGCGGAAUUCGUGGUGUAGCGGUGAAAUGCUUAGAUAUCACGAAGAACUCCGAUUGCGAAGGCAGCUCACUGGACUGCAACUGACACUGAUGCUCGAAAGUGUGGGUAUCAAACAGG